UACGUAGGGUGCAAGCGUUGUCCGGAAUUAUUGGGCGUAAAGAGCUCGUAGGCGGUUCGUCGCGUCUGCUGUGAAAACUCGGGGCUUAACUCCGGGCCUGCAGUGGGUACGGGCAGACUAGAGUGCGGUAGGGGAGACUGGAAUUCCCGUGGUGGUAGUCGGUGAAAUGCGCAGAUAUGCGGAGGAACACCGAUGGCGAAGGCAAUCCCCUGGACCUGUACUGACGCUCAUGCACGAAAGCGUGGGAGCAAACAGG
rnacentral:rRNA from 1 species